GUUUUCCUGUGGCUUAGUUGGUAGAACAUUGCGCUAACCACACAAAGGCCAUGGGUUUAAAUCCCAUGGAAAGCA